rnacentral:rRNA from 1 species
UACAGAGGGUGCAAGCGUUGUUCGGAAUUACUGGGCGUAAAGCGCACGUAGGCGGCUUUUUAAGUCAGGGGUGAAAUCCCGGGGCUCAACCCCGGAACUGCCCUUGAAACUGGGAAGCUAGAAUCUUGGAGAGGCGAGUGGAGUUCCGAGUGUAGAGGUGAAAUUCGUAGAUAUUCGGAAGAACACCAGUGGCGAAGGCGACUCGCUGGACAAGUAUUGACGCUGAGGUGCGAAAGCGUGGGGAGCAAACAGG